UACGUAGGGGGCAAGCGUUGUCCGGAAUUAUUGGGCGUAAAGAGCUCGUAGGCGGUCUGUUGCGUCCGCUGUGAAAACUCGGGGCUUAACCCCGAGCCUGCAGUGGAUACGGGCAGACUAGAGGUAGGUAGGGGAGAAUGGAAUUCCCGGUGUAGCGGUGAAAUGCGCAGAUAUCAGGAGGAACACCGGUGGCGAAGGCGGGUCUCUGGGCAGUAACUGACGCUGAGGAGCGAAAGCGUGGGGAGCGAACAGG
rnacentral:rRNA from 1 species